CCAGGAAAUAUUCCUCAGUGUAAGCACAUUUUGUUUUACUGGACAGUUCGUUAUUUUGACCUCAAAUCUGAGAGAUAUCACAAGAGUCACCAACGUUUUAAACAAGUGCAAGCUGGAUUUUAAUAACAAAAUGAAUGACAGACAAACAGUUUCAGGGGGAAGAUUUGAAGCCAACCGUAAAGCUGUUUGUGUAGGCCUUGGAGUGCUGGCUGCUAUCCUGGUGGUUGUGUUUAUAAUUAUAGUUGUUCAUUAUGCCAUCUGAACUCACAAUAACAAGAAUCAAAAGAGAAAGACACUCUGACUUCUAUGGUGAUGGCGUUACAGAAACG